CAUUCGCACGCAUCCACUUGAUACCAUUGUGAAUGUAUCGGCGUGAGGUUUUGUGUGGGGAUGGAGAUUGCAUCGAUGCCUCCAUGCAAAAGCUCAAAGGCAGCAGGGCUGGAUGGGUGCUUGUCACCUCCUUCCAGUACUUGUUGUCUCCUUCUCUCUGUGAUGAAUUCUUUCUUGCAGCGUUACAUUUUUUAGCGGUUCUCCGCACUCUCCCAUUGACUUUCAGCGAUCGAUGUCUCGGCUCGAGCAACGAUGAAGGGCACAGCAAAGUGUGAUAAGCAUUGUGAAUUGCAGGAUUCCGUGAACCAAUAGGGACUUGAACGUAUACUGCGCUUUCGGGAUAUCCCUGAAAGCAUGCUUGCUUCAGUGUCCAUUCCUUGCUUCCCGCAACCCCAGCCCUUGGUGGUAGUGUUGUCUGGGUGUAUUUGUGCGUCAUGGUGCCUUGCUGCCUUUGACGCGCUUCAAGUCAUCGGGGCUUCUUUUGUGGCACACAACUCCUAAGCAUCUCUGAUGUCUUGUGUUGCAGUGUCUUGAAAGAAAUAACCCUUGAUGUAGUAUGGCUCAUACCUCUGAAGACAUG
rnacentral:rRNA from 1 species